UACGAAGGGUGCAAGCGUUACUCGGAAUUACUGGGCGUAAAGCGUGCGUAGGUGGUCUCUUAAGUCCGUUGUGAAAUCCCCGGGCUCAACCUGGGAAUGGCAGUGGAUACUGGGAGGCUGGAGUGCGGUAGAGGGUAGUGGAAUUCCCGGUGUAGCGGUGAAAUGCGCAGAUAUCAGGAGGAACACCGGUGGCGAAGGCGGAUCUCUGGGCCGAUACUGACGCUGAGGAGCGAAAGCGUGGGGAGCGAACAGG
rnacentral:rRNA from 1 species